rnacentral:rRNA from 1 species
CCUACGGGAGGCAGCAGUGAGGAAUAUUGGACAAUGGGCGCAAGCCUGAUCCGGCCAUGCCGCGUGCAGGAUGACGGUCCUAUGGAUUGUAAACUGUUUUUAUACGAGAAGAAACACCCCUACGUGUAGGGACUUGACGGUAUCGUAAGAAUAAGGAUCGGCUAACUCCGUGCCAGCAGCCGCGGUAAUACGGAGGAUCCAAGCGUUAUCCGGAAUCAUUGGGUUUAAAGGGUCCGUAGGCGGUUUAGUAAGUCAGUGGUGAAAUCUCCCCGCUCAACGGGGAAACGGCCAUUGAUACUGCUAGACUUGAAUUAUUAGGAAGUAACUAGAAUAUGUAGUGUAGCGGUGAAAUGCUUAGAGAUUACAUGGAAUACCAAUUGCGAAGGCAGGUUACUACUAAUGGAUUGACGCUGAUGGACGAAAGCGUGGGUAGCGAACAGGAUUAGAUACCCUGGUAGUCCACGCCGUAAACGAUGGAUACUAGCUGUUGGGUGCAAACUCAGUGGCUAAGCGAAAGUGAUAAGUAUCCCACCUGGGGAGUACGUUCGCAAGAAUGAAACUCAAAUUGAAUUGACGGCUGNGAGNGCGAGAGACACGAGGAGAG